rnacentral:rRNA from 1 species
AUACGGAGGGUGCGAGCGUUAAUCGGAAUUACUGGGCGUAAAGGGUGCGUAGGCGGCUUGAUAAGUCGGAUGUGAAAGCCCCGGGCUUAACCUGGGAAUUGCAUUCGAUACUGUCAGGCUAGAGUAUGCCAGAGGUUGGCGGAAUUCCUGGUGUAGCGGUGAAAUGCGUAGAUAUCAGGAGGAACACCAGUGGCGAAGGCGGCUAACUGGGGCAAUACUGACGCUGAGGCACGAAAGCGUGGGGAGCAAACAGAAUUAGAAACCCUAGUAGUCC